UGGGGAAUAUUGGACAAUGGGCGAAAGCCUGAUCCAGCCAUGCCGCGUGUGUGAAGAAGGUCUUCGGAUUGUAAAGCACUUUAAGUUGGGAGGAAGGGCAGUAAGUUAAUACCUUGCUGUUUUGACGUUACCGACAGAAUAAGCACCGGCUAACUUCGUGCCAGCAGCCGCGGUAAU
rnacentral:rRNA from 1 species